CCUACGGGAGGCAGCAGUAAGGAAUAUUGGACAAUGCUCGCAAGAGUGAUCCAGCCAUGCCGCGUGCAGGAAGAAUGCCCUAUGGGUAGUAAACUGCUUUUGAACUAGAGAAAAUCCCAGUACGUGUACUGGGCUGAUAGUAUAGUUAGAAUAAGCAUCGGCUAACUUCGUGCCAGCAGCCGCGGUAAGACGAAGGAUGCAAGCGUUAUCCGGAUUCAUUGGGUUUAAAGGGAGCGUAGGUGGACUGAUAAGUCAGUGGUGAAAUCUCCGAGCUUAACUCGGAAAUUGCCAUUGAUACUGUUGGUCUUGAGUACAGUUGCUGUGGGCGGAAUAUGACAUGUAGUGGUGAAAUACAUAGAGAUGUCAUAGAACACCGAUUGCGAAGGCAGCUCACAAAGCUGUAACUGACACUGAGGCUCGAAAGUGCGGGGAUCAAACAGGAUUAGAUACCCUGGUAGUCCGCACCGUAAACGAUGAUUACUCGCUGCUAGGGGGCAACCGUUUAGUGGCUUAGCGAAAGCGAUUAAGUUAAUCCACGUUGGAGGACGCCGGCGACGGAGAACGACGAAGAGAGUUAGAGGCGNGAGAGNGCGACGGACGACGACGAGGGAGGAAGG
rnacentral:rRNA from 1 species